UUUAGAGCUGAGAUCAAGCUUUCUCUCUUCCAGCUUUGGCUCAGUCCACAAAUAAUAGCAUCCAUAAUUAUGCUGGUUAAGAUCUUCCCUUUGAUGUAAUGUGUUUGCCUGAAUUUGUGGGUUCUUUAUGUAUUAAGAUUAUGAUUGAUGAUAUCAAGUGAUCAUGAAAAUGUGUUGUGCCAUCUUCCAUCCUUGGUGAAGCUGCGAAAGGAAGGCUUAGAUGGUCACGAGAAGAUCAAGCAUGUAAUGGUGACAGCAUCUCUACUAGUCUGUGGUGCAAUGACAAUGACUUGGCUGUGUGAUACAAUAUCAGAGUCUGAAAUGUAAUAAUAGGAAACUUGCUUAUAACCGGUUUCUAUGCAUUUUUACAGGUCAUGGAUCAUCUCUAAUUAUAUGUGUGGGAAUAUUGACGGGCUACACAGAGACCUUACACAAAAUGCUCGAUCAAAUCUCAGGAAGUUUGUCGAAUUGGUGGCCUUACUUGUUAGGCUUGCUGGGCAUUUUUACAGUAGUAACUAUGUUCGCUGUUGUUGUUACUGAAGGCUGCAGGAAGAUAAAACUUCAAUAUUAUGGAUUUAAACUUGCUUCUGCUUCGAGAUAAUAUGACACCAAUGAGGCAUGGACAAAGGCUACUGUCAUCGGUUUUUUGAAGUUACAGGCCACCGUUUUUGUUUUUGUGUUUUGGGUUUCAUUUGAUAACAAUUGAGUUUUCAUGGCAUCGGUGCAUUCAU